AAUGUACGAAAGUGCGACGGGGGGAUCCCAAGUGUUAUGCUUUUUUUGUAUAACUUUUCAUUAGUGUAAAAAGCUUUUAGAAUAAGAGCUGGGCAAGACCGGUGCCAGCCGCCGCGGUAACACCGGCAGCUCGAGUGGUAGCUGUUUUUAUUGGGCCUAAAGCGUUCGUAGCCGGUUUGAUAAGUCUUUGGUGAAGGCUUGUAGCUUAACUAUAAGAAUUGCUGGAGAUACUAUUAGACUUGAAGUCGGGAGAGGUUAGAGGUACUACCGGGGUAGGGGUGAAAUCCUAUAAUCCUGGGAGGACCACCUGUGGCGAAGGCGUCUAACUGGAACGAUCUUGACGGUGAGUAACGAAAGCCAGGGGCGCGAACCGGAUUAGAUACCCGGGUAGUCCUGGCCGUAAACGAUGUAGACUUGGUGUUGGAAUGGCUUUGGGUUGUUCCGGUGCCGAAGGGAAGCUGUUAAGUCUACCGCCUGGGAAGUACGGUCGCAAGACUGAAACUUAA
rnacentral:rRNA from 1 species